GCCGCUGCUCCGGGGUGCGAGCGGCCCUUCGAAAGAAGGCCGGUAUCGCUGAGAUGGUGAGUCCAAACCCGUGAACUUGAACCGGUUCGUACCGGCGUAAGAAGAGCUGACAGUGUCCCU
rnacentral:ncRNA from 1 species